GACGAACGCUGGCGGCGUGCUUAACACAUGCAAGUCGAACGGAAAGGCCCUGCUUUUGUGGGGUGCUCGAGUGGCGAACGGGUGAGUAACACGUGAGUAACCUGCCCUUGACUUUGGGAUAACUUCAGGAAACUGGGGCUAAUACCGGAUAGGAGCUCCUGCUGCAUGGUGGGGGUUGGAAAGUUUCGGCGGUUGGGGAUGGACUCGCGGCUUAUCAGCUUGUUGGUGGGGUAGUGGCCUACCAAGGCUUUGACGGGUAGCCGGCCUGAGAGGGUGACCGGCCACAUUGGGACUGAGAUACGGCCCAGACUCCUACGGGAGGCAGCAGUGGGGAAUAUUGCACAAUGGGCGGAAGCCUGAUGCAGCAACGCCGCGUGCGGGAUGAUGGCCUUCGGGUUGUAAACCGCUUUCGCCUGUGACGAAGCGUGAGUGACGGUAAUGGGUAAAGAAGCACCGGCUAACUACGUG
rnacentral:rRNA from 1 species